AGCAGUCGCCGCGGGAACACGGAGGAUCCAAGCGUUAUCCGGAAUCAUUGGGUUUAAAGGGUCCGUAGGCGGUCUUGUAAGUCAGUGGUGAAAGCCCAUCGCUCAACGGUGGAACGGCCAUUGAUACUGCAGGACUUGAAUUAUUGGGAAGUAACUAGAAUAUGUAGUGUAGCGGUGAAAUGCUUAGAGAUUACAUGGAAUACCAAUUGCGAAGGCAGGUUACUACCAAUUGAUUGACGCUGAUGGACGAAAGCGUGGGUAGCGAACAGGAUUAGAUACCCCUGUAGUCCCUGUCUCUUAUAC
rnacentral:rRNA from 1 species